AAGGUAUAUUUCCGUAUACUUCCAGGGGUCACACUGCGCACCACGUGUUGGACCACAAAAUUAGAUUUAAAAAAAGUAAUGUUUCAUUUUAUAUACUUGGCUGAAGACCUUCGUGAAAUAAGGAAAAGAUGGAUGAACAAUUAAAGGACGUGCUGCAGCCAUUUAUGGCUGUCCCGUCAAUGGACAUAUUCGCAGAAAAGUCCGACUUCAUUUGCUUUAGGAACCCUCUCUUCUCCAUGGCACAUCCAUAGAAUAGGUGGCUGCAUCUUCUUGAGGGCAGUGUUAUUCUGCAUGGACACAUUAAAAGACUACGUGGGCUAAAUCUUCAUGAGGAAAGUUGGAUUUUCAGUGGAAAAAACAAAAGAAUAUAAUACCUGUCUCUUACGUAUCUUGCCUUAGCUCCUGUGCCUGGACAUAUCCGCUGAACGGCCGGACAUAAUCUACUCUGUAAGUUUAUUAUAAUAUUAAAUAAUGAUACCUAAUUCUUUAUGAU